rnacentral:rRNA from 1 species
UAAUACGAAUGGGGCAAGCGUUGUUCGGAAUCACUGGGCUUAAAGCGUGCGCAGGCGGCUAUGAAAGUCAGAAGUGAAAUCCCAGGGCUUAACCCUGGAAUUGCUUUUGAAACUCCAUAGCUAGAAUCCCGGAGAGGUUAGCAGAAUUCCGAGUGUAGAGGUGAAAUUCGCAGAUAUUCGGAGGAAUACCAGUGGCGAAGGCGGCUAACUGGACGGGCAUUGACGCUCAGGCACGAAAGCGUGGGGAGCAAACAGGAUUAGAUACCCUGGUAGUCCACGCCGUAAACGAUGUGUGCUCGUUGUCGGGACUUCACAGUCUCGGUGACAAAGCGAAAGCGUUAAGCACACCGCCUGGGGAGUACGGUCGCAAGAUUA